rnacentral:ncRNA from 1 species
AAUAACCAAUAUGAUACUCGCGCUAAGGGUCAAGUUAGUAAUUUUACUUACAUCUCCCCCUCCCGAAACCAAGGUAUCAUAUAUGCCGCCAAAAAAAUUCCAUCCAUUAACAAUAACAAAAACC